GGGCACAUGGUGUAGUUGGUUAUCACAUCCGCUUAGCAUAUGUCACUUGGAUGAAAUUGCAUCUGCGGGGGGUGCUGGGUUCAAUUCCCAGUGUGUCCA